AUCCGAGUAAUUGGUAAUCUCGUAAUAAUUGCCCCAUUCGGUACCACCAGGCUUCCAUUCCAGCUUACGGACUGUGGACUCGAGGCUUUCGACCAAGCCGGUCAAUGCCUGCUUGCUCAUCGAGCCGCCGCGCGAUUUGACCUCUUCUCCC
rnacentral:misc_RNA from 1 species